ACUUUGCAACUACAAGUGCUUUGUUAUUGUCUGGGAGCUGGGGUAUGUCCAAAAGAAAGAAACAAAUGAGAAGAAAAGCAAAAAGCAAAAACACAGCUUCAGAUGAAUUUUCUGAGAAGGCAAGGCAUUGUGAAGUUUCCUCAGUUGUCAGUUGGAUUGGUGUUAUCCUUAUGCAGGUCUUGUUUGCAUGGCCUUAAUUUGGAGAUUUACUGAAUAGAGCUUCCUUGCCAUGUCUAGAUCCAAUCAAGCUAAUAGUCCAGUUUAUAACACUCUUGCCCGGACAAAGAAAGCUUUCUUGCUCAAGCCCUCCCCCAUCUUAGCAGAUGGUUUUCUCCUCAUUAUCAUUUUGGUCUCAAGAAAAAAAAUGAUUAAGACUUGACCUAAAGGCCUAAAGAAGGAACUUACUGGGAGAGAAAUAUUGAAGAAUAAAUAGAACUUUGCAAGUAUGAGGAGCCUGUAAUUAAAGUUGGUUAUGUGGAGAGGAAUUAAAAUAAGAUUAUUUUCUUCAGUUGUGUAGUGACUGAAAGGUCGAUACCCCAUUCUUCAGUAAAGAAUAUCACACUCACUCUCAGGCAAGCAGCCUUACUCAAACACCAUGGCUCCCACACAGAAAUAAAGAUAAGAAAGGAUGAGGACUUUCCAGAAAGAAGAAGGGUUUCAGCAGAAGAUACAUUGGGGAUGAAGACAGACUAACAGGAGUUCAAAACAACCAAAAUAUAUUAUAUGGAUGCAUAAAAGAAUCAAAUAAAAUAUUAA
rnacentral:lncRNA from 1 species